GGCACUAUAGCCAAGUGGUUAAGGCGACAGAUUAGAAUUUCUGCUUCAGAUAAUCCAUCUGUUACUCUCUGAGUGCGCAGGUUCAAAUCCUGCUGGUGUCG